AUCCAGACUUUGAUCAUGGCUCAGGAUGAACGCUAGCUACAGGCUUAACACAUGCAAGUCGAGGGGCAUCAGGAAGAAAGCUUGCUUUCUUUGCUGGCGACCGGCGCACGGGUGAGUAACACGUAUCCAACCUGCCCUUUACUCGGGGAUAGCCUUUCGAAAGAAAGAUUAAUACCCGAUAGCAUAAUGAUUCCGCAUGGUUUCAUUAUUAAAGGAUUCCGGUAAAGGAUGGGGAUGCGUUCCAUUAGGUUGUUGGUGAGGUAACGGCUCACCAAGCCUUCGAUGGAUAGGGGUUCUGAGAGGAAGGUCCCCCACAUUGGAACUGAGACACGGUCCAAACUCCUACGGGAGGCAGCAGUGAGGAAUAUUGGUCAAUGGGCGGUAGCCUGAACCAGCCAAGUAGCGUGAAGGAUGAAGGCUCUAUGGGUCGUAAACUUCUUUUAUAUAAGAAUAAAGUGCAGUAUGUAUACUGUUUUGUAUGUAUUAUAUGAAUAAGGAUCGGCUAACUCCGUGCCAGCAGCCGCGGUAAUACGGAGGAUCCGAGCGUUAUCCGGAUUUAUUGGGUUUAAAGGGAGCGUAGGUGGACUGGUAAGUCAGUUGUGAAAGUUUGCGGCUCAACCGUAAAAUUGCAGUUGAUACUGUCAGUCUUGAGUACAGUAGAGGUGGGCGGAAUUCGUGGUGUAGCGGUGAAAUGCUUAGAUAUCACGAAGAACUUCGAUUGCGAAGGCAGCUCACUGGACUGCAACUGACACUGAUGCUUGAAAGUGUGGGUAUCAAACAGGAUUAGAUACCCUGGUAGUCCACACAGUAAACGACUGAAUACUCGCUGUUUGCGAUAUACAGUAAGCGGCCAAGCGAAAGCAUUAAGUAUUCCACCUGGGGAGUACGCCGGCAACGGUGCAACUCAAAUGAAUUGACGGA
rnacentral:rRNA from 1 species